rnacentral:rRNA from 1 species
UACAGGGGGUGCAACCGUUGCUCGGAAUUAUUGGGCGUAAAGAGCUCGUAGGCGGCUUGUCGCGUCGGCUGUGAAAGCCUGGGGCUCAACCCCGGGCCUGCAGCCGAUACGGGCAAGCUAGAAUUCGGUAGGGGAGACUGGAAUUCCUGGUGUAGCGGUGAAAUGCGUAGAGAUCCGGAGGAACACCAGUGGCGAAGGCGACACGCUGGGCCGUACCUGACACUGAACCGCGACAGCAUGGGGAGCAAACAGG